rfam:Populus trichocarpa isolate Nisqually-1 chromosome 16, whole genome shotgun sequence.
UCGCCUAUGAUGAAAAUUUUCACCAAAUAACCAUCUUUCGGGACUGAAUGGCUUUUUAAGCCUUGCUGUAAUUCUGCAAUUCUGAGGCAC